rnacentral:rRNA from 1 species
AGUCCGCACGAGCGCACCCCUAUCCUUAGUUGCUAGCAGGUAAUGCUGAGAACUCUAAGGAGACUGCCGGUGAUAAACCGGAGGAAGGUGGGGACGACGUCAAGUCGUCAUGGCCCUUACGUGUAGGGCUACACACGUGCUACAAUGGCGCAUACAGAGUGCUGCGAACUCGCGAGAGUAAGCGAAUCACUUAAAGUGCGUCGUAGUCCGGAUUGGAGUCUGCAACUCGACUCCAUGAAGUCGGAAUCGCUAGUAAUCGCAUAUCAGAAUGAUGCGGUGAAUACGUUCCCGGGCCUUGUACACACCGCCCGUCACACCAUGGGAGUGGGUUGCUCCAGAAGUGGAUAGUCUAACCUUCGGGAGGACGUUCACCGCGGAGUGAUUCAUGACUGGGGUGAAGUCGUAACAAGGUAGCCCUAGGGGAACCUGGGGCUGGAUCACCUCCUU